ensembl:lncRNA
GGUUGAGCAGCUGGCCUGCCCCAGAGAAGAGUUUCGAGCAGGAGAGUGAAGAGAGGAGCCAGGAAGGUGACCAGAGUGACCAGAACUGCCAGCCAGCACAAUGUGCCAGCUACAGAGUUGAGGAGAUGCUCGAAAGAUAUUUGUUGGAUGGAUGGAUGAAUGGUCCAGUCACAGCAGUAUCCCUGGGGCAUAUUCGUGAGGUGUCAAAGACAGAUGUAAAGCUCUUUGAGGAAGAACCACCCUGUGUCCCUUGGACUCACAGCACCAAGGGACACCGAGCACCGAGGGACUCGGGAUGACGUGGGGAUCGGUGACUGUAUACAGCUAUGGACGCAGACAGAUGGAUUUGUGGCUCAGGGUCAUCACGCAUGGAGACACGCUUACCCCAGCCUGAAGACAUGACCUGCCUUCUCGGGGAUAGUUGUCGGCCAUUCUCUUCCGAGUCACACAGGAAGAAGGUGAUCUCAUCUUUAUUGCCACUCUUCCCCGACCCCGACCUGAAAGCAGGAUUAGCCCUGAUGUCCAUAAGGUGGCAGAGGCCCUUGGCUCUGUCUGGGAGGCAUUGCUGGCUGUCAUGUGUUGUGCUAACCUUGGGAGUGACCUUGAUUGGGGAGGCAGGGAACAAGCAAGAAAUUAGUAUGUUGGAGAGCUGGCCAGUUUCCCGGUUAAGGAGGGCUGGCUCAGGGUCCACCCCCAAGAUGAACUUGGAGCUCUUUGAGAGCAAGACCUAUGUCUGAAGCAUCUCUGUAUUCAUAGUGCCUCAAUUAACACCUGGCACGUAGCAGGUGUUCAUCCAACACUGGGCGCUCCUGUAGUUGCCAGCAACCAGAGUUACCAGCAAGGAGGUAACAGGAAAACAGAUGUUAACGACUGUACUGAAAGGCCCCACCUGUGCUGACCACCACAAAGGCAUCAUCCUUUGCUAUAGAGCAGAGUUCUGGGUCCCAAGCACAAAAUCCAGGAACAUCUCUUGUCUUUUGUUAACUGCAAAAUCUCUAUCUCCCCUACAAAAAAAAAAAAAACACAGGGACAGACUCUGUGUAUAUAUCCAUGGAUUUAUAUAGCCAUGGCGUGCUCUUCUAAAUGUCUUUAAAAUCUAUUAAGUUAGAAAUGUUGGAGGUGGUGAUGAUAAGAGCUAGUCCCUAGAUGUGGCAUUGCCCAUCAGAACUGCGUUUCCUAGAAAGCCAAGGCUGCUUCUGAACAGCUGAACCUUGAACCCAGUAAAGCCUUGAACCCGGUGAAAGGAUGAGUAGAUCGUGGAGCGUUAAGGAGAAAAAGGGAGGGUCCUUGCCAGCCGCCUCUUUGCCUGCUUACCAGAGGCUCGCAAGCUCACAUGGCGGUCUCUGGGCAGGAGGACAGCUGGUCACUGGGUUUCUGUGCUCCUGUCCUGGGAGUUUAGAGCUGGAACGUCACUUACAGUGGAUCUUCAGAUACCCUCUCAGAUCACUCCUCGAAGGGCUUAUCCCAGGAACAAAUCAAAUAGGAAGUGAUAGAAACAGGCAGAGGAGUUUGAAAUGGCUAAACCAGGGAAGGCUGUUGGGGGAGAGGGGAUUGGAGGGACAGGGACUGUAAGCUCAGCGAGGUUAGAGACUCUUUAACUCCUGGGGGGCUGGGUGAAGGCUGUUCCAAAGGCCUCUAGGAAAUCGUUCAAGAAACUAGAAGGAAAGCUGUCAAGUGCUUCAUGGGGUGCAAAGUCACCCCCCCAGCCCCACUCACCACCGUGGGGGGCCCCAGUGGAGCUCCCCAUCAGAACCGCCACGCCACGCCAGCUCUUUCAAUGGGCGCCGUCCAGUGGGCUCUCCCCUGGGGCUUGGCCCCACCUGAGCGUGUGAUAGGCUCUGAUGACAACAGUCACUCACAUGCAUUUAGUGCCUCACACACAGGGUCUCAUUUAAUCCUCCCAACAACGCUUGAAAUGGAAUGUUUCUAUCCUCACGUUAAAAAUGAAGAAACUAAGACCUGGAGAGGUGCAAUAACUUUCCCAAGGUCAUGCAACUAAGAAGUAGAGGAGCGAGGCUUAGAAUCCAGUCUUGCACGAAUGUUCUCAUUUUCGCGUUGUGGGAUUUUUCAUUCCCUUUGCUGGAAUCACCAGUCUGUUUUCUGUCCCUGUUACGUGGUCCUGCUUCUCCCGUCUCUUCUGUGGCCUGCCAAAGCCACAAAAUGGUUUCUAAGUUCCAAGUCCAGUGGGUACCAGAUGCUGCCAGGCCCUAUUAAAGCCAUGUUCAUGAGAGAGCCCGGCUUCCUACUAGCAGUCCCUGGAAUCUCUCCUGUGGGAAUUCGGGGGAUAUUCCGAGUCAGGGCAGACUUAAGAAACUGAUUAUGCUGUUCAUUCUGUAAGUCAAGUAACAGGCCCUCAGAGUGAGUGACCUGAACAGCUGGAGCCAGCUGGGCAGGUUCAGCUGCAGCCACAGGUCAAGGGCCUUGGUUCAUCUGCCAGCCGGAUUCCUCUCUUCUCCACUUGGCAUCCACUGAAAAGGGACUGAAAUGUGCAAAAUGGCCUUUUCCCUCCUGUGUCCACCUGGCGUCUCUCUAGUAGACUGGCCUAAUUUCCUCAUCUUGUUGCCCUGGGCUCCAGGAGCCACCUCCCACACCCUCUGUCCUGCCCCACUCCCAUACCCAUCUCCUUCAGUCCAGCUGGCUGUGUUGUAUCACAUGACUCUGCCUCUGUCCUCCUCACACCACACACACACACACACACACUCACACACUCAGGCAGGUCAAUGAGCCAGGAUCUGUGUACACUGGUCAACAACUUGUGAAGUCCCCUGACUCAGGGAAUGUUUGGAAAGCCAGUCAGGCCAGGCAGAUUCCUCUUUUAGGAAAUUUGAACCUCCAAAUCAGGCUGCAUGGGCAGUGUGUGACAGGAGGUCAUGAGGGCAAGUAGGGCCAGGUGCUGGCCGGAAGUACACUGAGAUGGAAGCUUGGAGAUUGAAGAAAGGCAAAACAAUACUUAUCAUUGGGGGAUUAAUGAGCCUCUUUGGGAAGAAGAUAAAGGAUGUCGAGAUUAGAGGCAGAACUCCAGGAAAGGCAGAGAGAGGAGCCAGUCCUAGAGCCUCCCCAAGGCUCGCCAGGCCUGCCUCACCCAUGUGAGGCAGCAGGCUCCUUACUUAGUCCCUCUGCUGUCUGUUGGCUCAGAAUUGGGCAUGUGACAGUUCUGCCAACAUAACUUAUGGGGAAAUGGCUGGGGGACCUUCUGGGAAGAUUUUGUUUUCUGAUAAAAGGAGAAUGAAGAGGCCCAUCUCUUCCUCCUGCUUUGAACAGGGAUGUUUGAGAUGUGAUAUUUGGAGCUGUGGCAGCCAUUUUGAGACCAGGUGGCAACGAAACUAAGGGAGAAAGCCAACAUAGCAAGGUUGGCCGAGUAGACAGACAAAGCCUAGGUCCUCGAUGAUACCGUUGAGCCACCAUACCUAUCCGGGAACCGCCUACUUCCAGUCUUACUGAUCUUUAAAUUGAACCGUCUUUAUUUUCUAAGCACAUUUCUGCUAUUUUCAGCCUAAAAGGCAUUCUUAGCCAGUCAAUACAACACUCCUCCGAACUUCCCAGUCAUCAACUCCUUAGAGCCCCCACGGCUCUUGGUACAGCUCCAAAUGGAAAAUCAGCCCAAUUUAGACACUGGAAACCUUAAUUGUAUGGUAGGAAAUACAGGUCAAGAUUGGUCAUAGCCCACACAGGCAAGCAGCUUGUACACUUAGUUCCGAUUCCUGGAGCCUACCGGGCACUGAUGAGGAAAGAAAGAUUCAGGACAGUUCCAGAUGCAUGAGCCUGGGUCUUCUAAAUUGGGGCUCCAUGAGGAACUUUAGAACAAAUCAGCGUGGAAUCGGUGGGGGGGGUGGGGGUGGGGUGGGGAGGUGAGUGUUAGUCCCUGGAGGCAGAGCCUGAGCAUGGACCAGAAGGCCAUGGCAGAAGGAGAAGCAAGUUGGAAUUGGCAAAUGGUGAGUUAGGUUGGGUGAAUUCUGGAGGAGGCCGGUGUCACACAGCAGGGUUUUAUGAGCCCCAUAUACUAGGUGAAGGAAAUGUAUGGCAGCUAGAGCUUAACUGAUGGAAAACUAGGCUUUGUAGUUAACUCUCCAGCCAGCCUAAGUGACAUUUCAUAUCCUUUGGGGAACACGGUGCCCUGACUUGAGGCCACUUCCCGCUUUCUCCAUGCCUUGUCCCUUUGCCACCUGGCCCUUCUUUCUUUAGCUUUCCUUCCCAUCUUCUCUGAGCAAAGCCAGGAGACAGAAACGCACAGGACCUGAAUUGCUUCUUCCUCAAUUGGGGAAUGGAUAUAGUGGCAAGCAAGGAUGUCUCCUAGAAGACUUAGAAUCCCAGGCGAGGGAUAAGGAGUUUGGUUGGGAGGUGAAAACGCAGUCGGUGGAUAAGGACUAGAUGAAGCUUUCUUCUGAUCCAAUUUUCAUCACAUAACGUGGUUUUUGUGUUGCUUCAACACAAGAAAAUGUGCCUGACCCUUGCUUCAUGAAAAGAAGAAUUGAACUUAGGAACUCUAGCCCUUCCUCUUUAAAUGUCUAGUUUUAAAUAUAAAGUGAAACCGGUAUCCUCCUCAUGUAGCUGUCAGAUGCAUUCAGAACUGGAGAAAAAUUGCCCUGCCCUUUCCCAACUCAAAAUAGUCUUCGGCAGUAAAGAGAGGUGGCCCAUAGAAGUUCCUCAAGCUAAUGGGGGCCGAACACCAAUGUGUUGCAAUUAGGGUAGAAUUUGCAACCUCCAGAUCCUGCCAGUAAGCCUCGCCCCCUCAACACAGUCCUUUCACACCCUCCACAAUUUAUGGAGUCCUGCCCUUGAAGGUUCAGACUAGGCUGACUCGGUUUGCCUGUUGUAUUACUUCAUUCAUUCAGCAAAGUUGGACUGAAUACCUACCAGGAAUAGAAGUUAAGCUUAUAAAAGCAAGUUUGUAAGCUUAUCUUCCUAAGUCAUUAUAUAUAUAUAUAUAAUAUAUAUAUAUAUAUAUAAUUUAUAUAUAUAUAUAUAUAUUCUAUGAGACAGAGAAAGAAAUGGAAAUGGAAAGAAAUGGAAAUCUUGGUUGCAGUGGAAGAAGCAAUAAAGUUUAAGCCCCUACUUAAUGCAAUUCAUGCUUUAACUGACAAUAAACCCUGAACCCCCUCCCCUCCUCAAAGUUACCCCAUACAUCACUAAAGAUUCUCUGAAAUCCAAUAAGGAAAAGAACUGAAGGCUUUUCCUCAUUCUCCACAAUCAAGGCUUUUCUCCAGAAUGAAUUAGCCUGAUUACUGGCUAAAAGCUCUCCCACAAUCUUUCCAAUAAGAGUGUUUCUUUCCUGUAAAUUCUCCAAAGAUGAUGCUCCACGUUGGUUCCACUCACAGGCCGCUCUCCAGCGUGAAUGAGUUCAGUGUGCCCCCACGCCUCCCCCGGGCGGCCUCCCCCAUUCACACACACGCCUGCUUCCUGUCCUGGUGAAUCAGCCCACAUUGUCCAAGGCUGGAACUCUGAUUGAAGGUUCUUCCUCAUCCCUUCUGCUCCCAGGGCUCCUAUCCACUCUGAAAUCCCAGAUGUCUAAUUAGCUCUGAGCACUGUCUAAAAGCGCUUUCACAGCUCUGACGCGCAUGUGGUCUUUCUCCAGUGUGAAUUCUCUGACGUUGAAUGAGCUUUGCUUUUCCCGAAAGCCCUUACAGUUACGGCAUUUGUAGAGUUUCUGCUGCAUGUGAAUUAGCUGGUAUCAGGAUGCUGCCGGAUGCCUCCUGCAAACGGAUUCUCUCCAAGAUGAACGUUAGGGAGGCGGGGUGCCAGGAGAAAAGUGGCCUCUGUUUCAUAACAAAGAUGUUUUCUCCAAGAAGUGCACUGUAAUAAGGAAUAAAUUCUGAAUUCUGUUCUAAGAUUUGGCCAUACCUAUCUUAUUUGUGGGUUUUCUCACUGCUUAAAAAAUGUGUAUGAAUUGCGAAUGUUCUCAUGUUCAUCCCAUUCAUGGGACGGAUUCUCCAGGAUGUCUCUGUAUUCACGGACACCUCAAAACUCAGACCUGGUCAGUGUCCCCCAGGGACCAUCUCAAUGCAGCUGCCUAUGAAUCUAUGACUGCAGAAAGUUCCCAUUCAGACCAGGUGUUCCUGGUCCCAGGCUCAUAUGAAAUUACAGGAAAUGUAAAUUUCAG